UACAGAGGGGGCAAGCGUUGUUCGGAAUUACUGGGCGUAAAGGGCGCGUAGGCGGCCGCCUAAGUCAGACGUGAAAUCCCUCGGCUUAACCGAGGAACUGCCUGUCAGACUGCAUGGCUUGAGACCAGGAGAGGUGAGUGGAAUUCCCAGUGUAGCGGUGAAAUGCGUAGAUAUUGGGAGGAACACCAGUGGCGAAGGCGGCUCACUGGACUGGUACUGACGCUGAUGCGCGAAAGCGUGGGGAGCAAACAGG
rnacentral:rRNA from 1 species